GACGAACGCUGGCGGCGUGCCUAAUACAUGCAAGUAGAACGCAGUUGGGCACGGGGGAGUAACGCGUAGGUAACAGCCUCAUAGCGGGGGAUCAACAUUGGAAAAGAAAGCUCAUACCGCCUACCUUGGGAUGGACCUGCGUUGUAAUAGCUAGUUGGUGGGGUAAAGGCUCACCAAGGCGACGAUACAUAGCCGACCUGAGAGGGUGAGCGGCCCACCUGGGACUGAGACACGGCCCAGACUCCUACGGGAGGCAGCAGUAGGGAAGCUUCGGCAAUGGACGGAAGUCUGACCGAGCAACGCCGCGUGAGGGAAGAAGGUUUUCGGAUCUUAAAUCUCUGUUGUUAGAGAAGCGGUAACUAACCAGAAAGGGACGGCUAACUACGUGCCAGCAGCCGCGGUAAUAC
rnacentral:rRNA from 1 species